UCUGGGUCAGAUUCAACAUGGAUGCAGUGGAAAUACACAAGGCCCCAAAAUAAUCCUGUUCCCGACGCAGUCCAAGAGAUGCACAAGGUUUUUGACGCAGUCUCCUGACGCAGAUCUUCUCAGACAGCUUUCCCAUUGUUACGGGCCUGCCUCACUCCUCCUGGGCUGGUUUUAAAACAGAUUACAGGAUCAGCGUGUCUGCCCUUUUGCUCUGUCCAGUUGCAUACCUGAACCGACGCUGUAAGUAAUAAAGUAGGACCUCCUUUGAUCUGAUGUCCCAGCCAGAGGCUUCUCCCUCCGAGCAGACAAUACUCUAAUUCAUUACUGGACCUGCCUCUUCAAAGCUCAACCACUCUGCGCCGGGAAACUCUAAACUUAGGCCCCAGACAGGCUCUUUAAAAAAAAAAAAAAAAAAAAAAAAAAAAAAACACCCCUCACCCCCUGGGCACUGAGGUGGCGGCUGGAUGAGUCCACAUAAGUCACGGUAGCCUGCACAUAUCCCCUCCUUUAGCCCCGCAGCACCACACCUAUCCCCCUCAGGUGACAGGUGGAUUAUUGGGCAUCGGUAUUUCUGCAUUCUCUUGCCCAGUUAUAAGCAGCUUGUUGACCGUGGGAAAAUGUCACUUAAGAUCUGCAGAAACUGUCUGCAGAUUUAAAUCAGAUUGUUGCUGUAAAGUGAUUUUUGAAUUUCUUUCACUGUGCCACACAAUUUUGAAAGAGGACUUUUGUGAGAUAACUUGCACGUAAAAAAUCAAAGUAAAUCCACAGCAUCCAUUGUCUUUUUAUCACGUUUUCAAAGCAUCAUUUUACACUGGGAUGUGUUUGUUGUUGCGGUGUAAUCCCUUGUUAUGACCUCAAAUGGACUGAAUGGCUGGUUGGGCACUCAGGAGACCAUUGAACCACUUGAGUAAACCAAAAAGAGUUUGACUUGUUCAGGCAAGAGGAUCUGUAGAAAGUGCUGAUCCAUAACAAAGUUUGCCCAUGAUUUUUGUCUUGGUAUCAAGAUAGAGAUUCAGAAUGUGGGUGUUAUAAAGAAGCCCUCUGAGAUUGUAAGGCCUUCACAAAUAAACGUGGCUUGGCUUAGCUUGUUUUCAUUUCAUAAGCAUUUUAGUUGCAGCUGCUUCACAGGGAUAAAUCUCCAGUAACACUAAAGAUUCAGUUAAAGCUCACCAUAACA